CACCUGUUAUUUCACGGGGCUCCAACUGUGGAGGUGCUGAGAGCACUCCCGCUGUGAUCCCUUCUCUCCCAUGAGACCCAGCACUUCUCUUGCUCCCCAAAAGAUUACAAGCCAAAACCAUGCCCAGAAGUUCCCCAUUUCCUCAUCUGCCC